UACGUAGGUGGCAAGCGUUGUCCGGAUUUACUGGGCGUAAAGAGCGCGCAGGCGGUCAGAUAAGUCGAAUGUGAAAGCCCCCGGCUCAACUGGGGAGGGUCAUUCGAUACUGUUCGACUCGAAGGCAGGAGAGGGAAGUGGAAUUCCCGGUGUAGUGGUGAAAUGCGUAGAUAUCGGGAGGAACACCAGUGGCGAAGGCGACUUCCUGGCCUGUUCUUGAUGCUGAGGCGCGAAAGCUAGGGGAGCAAACGGG
rnacentral:rRNA from 1 species